rnacentral:lncRNA from 1 species
UUAAUUUUCUUUUAUUUAAUGCCUAUUGGUGUUCCGAGAGUACCUUUUCGAAGUCCCGGAGAGGAAGAUGCAUUGUGGAUUGACGUAUAGUGCGGCUUGUCAGAUAUAUUGGGUCAUAUGGUAUUUCCCCGUUCUCUUCCCCGAUCGAGAUAUCCUCCCUUUCGCCCAAGAAAGAUUGAUUGAAUUAUCAAAAAUUUGGAGCGUGAAGUGCAAUUAGAUCUAUUUUUUCGGGAGGGUAUACAGAUUAAUAUUAUCAAUUAGAAUAAUUUAUGGUUGGCUUGGUUAGGCCAAUAAAAUGAAGUAUCCAGGCUCCGUUUAGAAAAAAACCAAUGGGUAAUAAAUAUAUUUAUGAUUACUAUUUAUAUCAUAUUCUAUUUCUUUAUAAAUAGAAGUGAUCUCAAACUGUUAAUCAAUCGAGUAAUAUGAUGAAUGCGGUGAAUAUUUGUUGUAAGACAUGAAAUAAAUUG